UACGUAGGGUGCGAGCGUUGUCCGGAAUUAUUGGGCGUAAAGAGCUCGUAGGCGGUGUGUCACGUCGGCCGUGAAAACCUGCAGCUUAACUGUGGGCGUGCGGUCGAUACGGGCAUCACUGGAGUUCGGCAGGGGAGACUGGAACUCCUGGUGUAGCGGUGGAAUGCGCAGAUAUCAGGAAGAACACCGACGGCGAAGGCAGCUCGCUGGGACGGUACUGACGCUGAGGCGCGAAAGCGUGGGGGAGCGAACAGG
rnacentral:rRNA from 1 species